CCCCUACGGGGGGAAAAGCCAGGGGGAUUCGUAAAGACCCUUGCGUUAAAUGGAGCGGCCGAUAUUCUGAUUAGCUUGUUGGUGAGGUAAAGGCUCACCAAGGGCGACGAUCAGUAGCUGGUUUGAGAGAACGACCAGCCACACUGGAACUGAGACACGGUCCAGACUCCUACGGGAGGCAGCAGUGGGGAAUUUUGGACAAUGGGGGCAACCCUGAUCCAGCCAUUCCGCGUGAGUGAAGAAGGCCUUCGGGUUGUAAAGCUCUUUCGCAAGGGAAGAAAACUUAUGAUCGAAUAAAUCAUGAGGUUGACGGUACCUUGAUAAGAAGCACCGGCUAACUACGUGCCAGCAGCCGCGGUAAUACGUAGGGUGCGAGCGUUAAUCGGAAUUACUGGGCGUAAAGCGUGCGCAGGCGGUUUUGUAAGUCGGAUGUGAAAUCCCCGGGCUCAACCUGGGAACUGCGUUCGAAACUGCAAGGCUAGAGUGUGUCAGAGGGGGGUAGAAUUCCACGUGUAGCAGUGAAAUGCGUAGAGAUGUGGAGGAAUACCAAUGGCGAAGGCAGCCCCCUGGGAUAACAC
rnacentral:rRNA from 1 species